rnacentral:rRNA from 1 species
GACGAACGCUGGCGGCGUGCCUAACACAUGCUAGUCGAGCGAUGAAAUCCCUUCGGUUCGGUGAGAGUGGCGGACGGGGGAGUAACGCGUGGGAACCUGCCCAGUGGUGGGGGAUAACUGGGGGAAACUGCAGCUAAUACAGCCUGAGACCGAGAGGAGAAAGAUUUAUCGCCAUUGGAGGGGCCCGCGUUCGAUUAGGUAGUUGGUGAGGUAAUGGCUCACCAAGCCGACGAUCGAUAGCUGGUCUGAGAGGAUGAUCAGCCACACUGGGACUGAGAUACGGCCCAAACUCCUACGGGAGGCAGCAGUGGGGAAUAUUGGACAAUGGGGGCAACCCUGAUCCAGCAAUGCCGCGUGAGUGAUGAAGUCCUUCGGUUUGUAAAGCUCUUUUGCCAGGGACGAUGAUGACGGUACCUGGAGAAUAAGCCCCGGCUAACUUCGUGCCAGCCGCCGCCGUAACAC